GGUGACUCUGGCUCUGGUGGCAGAGAGGUGGCUGAUGGCAACGUGCUGAGCGUCUUGGCAUCUUGGUGUGGCUGCAGCUAUUGUCUGGAUUUGGUGGGGGAGACCUUGAAAAAGGGGAGUGGGAAACCCCAGACUCUGAGCCAUGGGGCAGGAGCAGGAGGAGAGAGAGCACAUACAUAUAGGAGUCAGCAGGUGUUUGCUCAUAUCUGUGAUAUUGGCCAUCCACGCAUGAUCACUCUGAGAUAGCAGUGGUUAACAGUAAUGUUUGCAUCAGGAACCAAGAACAAUCUGGACUCAGCUCUAUAAGGAGUCAAAGAAGGAAACUAUACCAUAACUGAAGAAAACUUCUUGAGCAUCCUACGAAUAGCAGUAAAGGACUUUAGACAAUCCAGGAACUGUGAGUUACAUCUUUGCCACAUAUAUUUUCUAAGUCUGAGUCUACUUUUGCUCAGACUCUGCAGGUACUUACAAGAGAGUUGAGUAAAGGUGUUUGGGGUGUGGAGAAGGAUGUUUUGUAAUAACUGUUCUUAUUGUAUUAUCUUAGUAAAUAAUUCUCUUAAAAAUCUUCUUAGAGGUUAGUGACCAAACUGAUUCUCAAUGGAUAAUUUUGGGGAAGAAGUAUACCAGUGUUGGCUCAAGUCAGUAGCAUUAGAGAUUUAAACCACAAAUUUAAACCUUUAGGGGUAUUCUAGAACCCUGAACGGAAGAUGAAGUCAAGCUCUGAGGAUCCACUGGAACUUUGAUAGGCUACACAUUAAUACAUUAAUACACACACAAAGGCACAAAUAAGUCUUGGCUUCUGAGCAAUGUACUAGGCACUUGGAAAUACAAGUAUAAAAAUUGUGACAGUUCCUUAUGUGAGCAACAUACACAUAUACAUAUAUAAUUAUAUAUGCACAUAUGUGUAUUUCCUAUAUAUAACUGGUACAUGCAUAUAAAUAUAUAAAUUUAUGUGUAUGUGUAC
rnacentral:lncRNA from 1 species